rnacentral:tRNA from 1 species
GGGAUUGUGGCUCAAUGGUAGAGCGCUCAUCUAGCACAUGUGAGGCCCUGGGUUUGAUUCUCAGCACCA